GUUUACACUAGACUGAUGAGUUGCGAACGGGUGAGUAACCGCGUAGGUAACCUGCCUCAUACGGGGGAUAACUAUUGGAAACGAUAGCUAAUACCGCAUAAGAGUGAUUAACACAUGUUAGUUAUUUAAAAGGAGCAAUUCGCUUCACUGUGAGAUGGACCUGCGUUGUAUUAGCUAGUUGGUGAGGUAAAGGCUCACCAAGGCGACGAUACAUAGCCGACCUGAGAGGGUGAUCGGCCACACUGGGACUGAGACACGGCCCAGACUCCUACGGGAGGCAGCAGUAGGGAAUCUUCGGCAAUGGACGGAAGUCUGACCGAGCAACGCCGCGUGAGUGCAAGAAGGUUUUCGGAUCGUAAAGCUCUGUUGUUAGAGAAGGACGUUGGUAGGAGUGGAAAAUCUACCAAGUGACGGUAACUAACCAGUAAGGGACCGGCUAACUACGUGCCAGCAGCCGCGGUAAUACGUAGGUCCCGAGCGUUGUCCGGAUUUGAUUGGGCGUAAAGCGAGCGCAGGCGGUUCUUUAAGUCUGAAGUUAAAGGCAGUGGCUUAACCAUUGUACGCUUUGGAAACUGGAGGUACUUGAGUGCAGAAGGGGAGAGUGGAAUUCC
rnacentral:rRNA from 1 species